rnacentral:piRNA from 1 species
UGAUGCAACUUUGAUUUCAGUCCACAGACUU